GACAGAGGGGGCAAGCGUUGCUCGGAAUCACUGGGCGUAAAGGGCGCGUAGGCGGCCUGUUAAGUCGAACGUGAAAUCCCCGGGCUCAACCCGGGAACUGCGUCCGAUACUGGCAGGCUUGAAUUCGGGAGAGGGAUGCGGAAUUCCAGGUGUAGCGGUGAAAUGCGUAGAUAUCUGGAGGAACACCGGUGGCGAAGGCGGCAUCCUGGACCGAGAUUGACGCUGAGGCGCGAAAGCCAGGGGAGCAAACGGG
rnacentral:rRNA from 1 species